AUUUGCCCUGUUUGGCUCCAUCACAGACAGGAAUGUAUACAGCAUAAACCUUGUAUCUCACGAAUCUUCGUGUCCCAUGUUCUGAAACAUCGAUCGUGUAAAAAAUCAGUGUUUCUCUUGCCCUCAGCGAUUUAUAACGAUAAAAGUUGAGUGGUUUCAAGGGGAACCUAACUUAACGUGAUUAAUUUUUGGCAUUACGGCCACGUGUGUCGCUGCCCGUCGCUGCCCGUCGCUGCCCGUCGCUGCCCGUCGCUGCAUUCUCCUUUCUCCUUCCUCCUUCCUCCCGUUCCGACGCAUGUUUCUCCGUCUCUGCCUCGUGGAGAUAUCGAUGCCGAAAGCACGAUUUCUUAUUCGCGCCGAUCUGUCUCUAUUUUGUAUACUUGCCGAAUCUCUUGCCUCAACGCGCUUGUUUAGGACCAUGGAAUCUGCCUUUUUGUUAUUUUGGCCUGUUAAAGGGGAUUGAUUUGCGGAUUCUUGGUUGAUUCAUGUUUCUUAGACAAAUAUGCAGAUGUCGUCAUAAAAUACUUUCAUUCCGCAAACGUGGCUUUCGACAAAUUUUACGCGGUGCUUACAUUAAUACGAAACUCGCUAUGAUAAAAAACAAAACGUCGUAUCUAGAAUCACGAUAAGAACAACGAAACCUGACGCUGACCUUAAAAUUCAGGCGGCGCGGCGAAUGGAACUUGGAAAGAGGAUCAUCGUGAUUAUUUUAUUCUUUGUAUUUUCAUUGAUUCGUUAGAUAAUAUGUCAAGCCAGUCGUAUAAGAUCAAGAGAUUUCAGAAUAAAAUUAUAUGAAAAUUCACGUUUCGCAACAAGAAUAUGUAAUAUUUAUCAACUAUUUCCACAGACACUGUUGUCUUCACAAAAUAAUCACUUUUACGUAAAGGAUUAAUUAUCUUUAUCUCAGAUAUUUGAUCUAUAGAUAUACGUAUAAAAGAUAUACAUAUUCGUUCUAAUUACAAACUUUCAAGUACUCGAGCGAUGCACGAUAAGUCUCCGAUAUUUCGUUUCUUUCUACUUGCAGACUUUCACACAUGAUAUAAUUGACACAAAUAGCGUUGAAAAUAUAAACUUCAAACGUCAUUCGUCGCUUCUUGCUUUUUCAUAUAAUAACUAAUAACGUAGUUACUAGAAAAUAAAAUAUGUAUAUGGGUGGUGGAUUGUACAAAAGUGCGUAGUAUUAUUCGACAGUGAUAUAGUCCGUACACUUUUUCAUUUAAUUUAUGUAUUAUGUAACAGGCUUUAGAUAUGGAAGACGACAUGCUAAUAUUGCUAUAUACUUUGUAGCUACUACUAGACAAAUGAAUAGCUAUAUAAUAUAUGUAAUUUUAUCGGUAUUUUUUUAAAAACUAUCUCUACACGGGACUGACAUUUCAAUAAAAGUCACACGUAAUCGACUGUAUUUCAACUCUUUACCUGAAAAAGACAAAUUGUUGCUCACGCCAUUUAUCAGAAAGAAUUGGUUAAAAGACAAUUGGUUCUCUCAAGAAUUAUUUACAAAAUUUGAACAUCCAACAGCAUACAUCAAUAGUAAUUUGUAGUUAUUGAGAUUAUAAACGAACUGACUACCAUUUUUCGUAAUUGUCAGUUAAACUUAAGCGUGAAAACAAAAAUAAUUAAAUUUUAAAGAAAAGUAACAUUUAUUAAUCGUAAACGAACUAGCUAUGAAUGCUAAAUGCUGAAAAAUACUAAAUAAAAUAUAAAAUCAACUAUGAUUCCUGACAACUGUCGGCUAAACAUGAGAACAAAGAUCAUUGCGUGUUUGAAACUAACGAAUAUUUAUUCCUUGUAUAAACAAACUAGUGAUCAACCUCACGUUCUUUAUUGUAAACUU